UACGAAGGGGGCUAGCGUUGUUCGGAAUUACUGGGCGUAAAGCGCACGUAGGCGGAUACUUAAGUCAGGGGUGAAAUCCCGGGGCUCAACCCCGGAACUGCCUUUGAUACUGGGUAUCUCGAGUCCGGAAGAGGUGAGUGGAAUUCCGAGUGGUAGAGGUGAAAUUCGUAGAUAUUCGGAGGAACACCAGUGGCGAAGGCGGCUCACUGGUCCGGUACUGACGCUGAGGUGCGAAAGCGUGGGGAGCAAACAGG
rnacentral:rRNA from 1 species